AGUCACGCUAGCGGCAGGCUUAACACAUGCAAGUCGAGGGGUAACAGAGGAGCUUGCUUCUGCUGACGACCGGCGCACGGGUGCGUAACGCGUAUACAAUCUGCCUUCACUAAGGGAUAGCCCAGAGAAAUUUGGAUUAAUACCUUAUGUUUAUUAAGAUGGCAUCAUUUUGAUAAUAAAGAUUACGGUGUAAGAUGAGUAUGCGUACCAUUAGUUUGUUGGUAAGGUAACGGCUUACCAAGACUACGAUGGUUAGGGGCCCUGAGAGGGGGAUCCCCCACACUGGUACUGAGACACGGACCAGACUCCUACGGGAGGCAGCAGUGAGGAAUAUUGGACAAUGGAGGAGACUCUGAUCCAGCCAUGCCGCGUGCAGGAAGACGGUCCUAUGGAUUGUAAACUGCUUUUAUACAGGAAGAAUAAGGACUACGUGUAGUCUGGUGACGGUACUGUAAGAAUAAGGACCGGCUAACUCCGUGCCAGCAGCGGCGUUAAUAA
rnacentral:rRNA from 1 species